CCUACGGGUGGCUGCAGUGGGGAAUAUUGGGCAAUGGGCGGAAGCCUGACCCAGCAACGCCGCGUGAGGGAAGAAGGCUUUCGGGUUGUAAACCUCUUUUCGCAGGGACGAAGCAAGUGACGGUACCUGAGGAAUAAGCCACGGCUAACUACGUGCCAGCAGCCGCGGUCAUACGGAGGGGGCAAGCGUUAUCCGGAUUUAAUGGGUGUAAAGGGCGUGUAGGCGGGAAAGCAAGUCGGAUGGGAAAGCCAUGGGCUCAACCUGUGGCCUGCAUUGGAAACAGUUUGGCUGGAGUACAGGAGAGGCAGACGGAAUGCCUAGUGUAGCGGUGAAAUGCGUAGAUAUUAGGAGGAACACCAGUGGCGAAGGCGGAUUGCUGGACAGUAACUGACGCUGAGGCGCGAAAGCGUGGGGAGCAAACAGGAUUAGAUACCCGUGUAGUC
rnacentral:rRNA from 1 species